UACGGGGGGGGCAAGCGUUGUUCGGAUUUACUGGGCGUAAAGGGCGCGUAGGCGGCGUGGUAAGUCACUUGUGAAAUCUCUGAGCUUAACUCAGAACGGCCAAGUGAUACUGCUGUGCUAGAGUGCAGAAGGGGCAAUCGGAAUUCUUGGUGUAGCGGUGAAAUGCGUAGAUAUCGAGAGGAACACCUGCGGCGAAGGCGGUUAGCUGGGCAGUUGCUGACACUGGAGGCGCGACAGCGUGGGGAGCAAACAGG
rnacentral:rRNA from 1 species